rnacentral:rRNA from 1 species
GCAAUCUGUGUGACUGCGUACCUUUUGUAUAAUGGGUCAGCGACUUAUAUUCUGUAGCAAGGUUAACCGAAUAGGGGAGCCGAAGGGAAACCGAGUCUUAACUGGGCGUUAAGUUGCAGGGUAUAGACCCGAAACCCGGUGAUCUAGCCAUGGGCAGGUUGAAGGUUGGGUAACACUAACUGGAGGACCGAACCGACUAAUGUUGAAAAAUUAGCGGAUGACUUGUGGCUGGGGGUGAAAGGCCAAUCAAACCGGGAGAUAGCUGGUUCUCCCCGAAAGCUAUUUAGGUAGCGCCUCGUGAAUUCAUCUCCGGGGGUAGAGCACUGUUUCGGCAAGGGGGUCAUCCCGACUUACCAACCCGAUGCAAACUGCGAAUACCGGAGAAUGUUAUCACGGGAGACACACGGCGGGUGCUAACGUCCGUCGUGAAGAGGGAAACAACCCAGACCGCCAGCUAAGGUCCCAAAGUCAUGGUUAAGUGGGAAACGAUGUGGGAAGGCCCAGACAGCCAGGAUGUUGGCUUAGAAGCAGCCAUCAUUUAAAGAAAGCGUAAUAGCUCACUGGUCGAGUCGGCCUGCGCGGAAGAUGUAACGGGGCUAAACCAUGCACCGAAGCUGCGGCAGCGACACUGUGUGUUGUUGGGUAGGGGAGCGUUCUGUAAGCCUGUGAAGGUGUGCUGUGAGGCAUGCUGGAGGUAUCAGAAGUGCGAAUGCUGACAUAAGUAACGAUAAAGCGGGUGAAAAGCCCGCUCGCCGGAAGACCAAGGGUUCCUGUCCAACGUUAAUCGGGGCAGGGUGAGUCGACCCCUAAGGCGAGGCCGAAAGGCGUAGUCGAUGGGAAACAGGUUAAUAUUCCUGUACUUGGUGUUACUGCGAAGGGGGGACGGAGAAGGCUAUGUUGGCCGGGCGACGGUUGUCCCGGUUUAAGCGUGUAGGCUGGUUUUCCAGGCAAAUCCGGAAAAUCAAGGCUGAGGCGUGAUGACGAGGCACUACGGUGCUGAAGCAACAAAUGCCCUGCUUCCAGGAAAAGCCUCUAAGCAUCAGGUAACAUCAAAUCGUACCCCAAACCGACACAGGUGGUCAGGUAGAGAAUACCAAGGCGCUUGAGAGAACUCGGGUGAAGGAACUAGGCAAAAUGGUGCCGUAACUUCGGGAGAAGGCACGCUGAUAUGUAGGUGAAGUCCCUCGCGGAUGGAGCUGAAAUCAGUCGAAGAUACCAGCUGGCUGCAACUGUUUAUUAAAAACACAGCACUGUGCAAACACGAAAGUGGACGUAUACGGUGUGACGCCUGCCCGGUGCCGGAAGGUUAAUUGAUGGGGUCAGCGCAAGCGAAGCUCUUGAUCGAAGCCCCGGUAAACGGCGGCCGUAACUAUAACGGUCCUAAGGUAGCGAAAUUCCUUGUCGGGUAAGUUCCGACCUGCACGAAUGGCGUAAUGAUGGCCAGGCUGUCUCCACCCGAGACUCAGUGAAAUUGAACUCGCUGUGAAGAUGCAGUGUACCCGCGGCAAGACGGAAAGACCCCGUGAACCUUUACUAUAGCUUGACACUGAACAUUGAGCCUUGAUGUGUAGGAUAGGUGGGAGGCUUUGAAGUGUGGACGCCAGUCUGCAUGGAGCCGACCUUGAAAUACCACCCUUUAAUGUUUGAUGUUCUAACGUGGACCCGUGAUCCGGGUUGCGGACAGUGUCUGGUGGGUAGUUUGACUGGGGCGGUCUCCUCCUAAAGAGUAACGGAGGAGCACGAAGGUUGGCUAAUCCUGGUCGGACAUCAGGAGGUUAGUGCAAUGGCAUAAGCCAGCUUGACUGCGAGCGUGACGGCGCGAGCAGGUGCGAAAGCAGGUCAUAGUGAUCCGGUGGUUCUGAAUGGAAGGGCCAUCGCUCAACGGAUAAAAGGUACUCCGGGGAUAACAGGCUGAUACCGCCCAAGAGUUCAUAUCGACGGCGGUGUUUGGCACCUCGAUGUCGGCUCAUCACAUCCUGGGGCUGAAGUAGGUCCCAAGGGUAUGGCUGUUCGCCAUUUAAAGUGGUACGCGAGCUGGGUUUAGAACGUCGUGAGACAGUUCGGUCCCUAUCUGCCGUGGGCGCUGGAGAACUGAGGGGGGCUGCUCCUAGUACGAGAGGACCGGAGUGGACGCAUCACUGGUGUUCGGGUUGUCAUGCCAAUGGCACUGCCCGGUAGCUAAAUGCGGAAGAGAUAAGUGCUGAAAGCAUCUAAGCACGAAACUUGCCCCGAGAUGAGUUCUCCCUGACCCUUUAAGGGUCCUGAAGGAACGUUGAAGACGACGACGUUGAUAGGCCGGGUGUGUAAGCGCAGCGAUGCGUUGAGCUAACCGGUACUAAUGAACCGUGAGGCUUAACCUUACAACGCCGAAGGUGUUU